UAAAUGCAGACAAAAGUGCUUCUGUUGCUCAGAGAAAAGACAAAUAAUGUUCACCACUCCACUUCCUUGUUCCUUCACACCUGCUACUUUGGAUUCAGACGAGAAGUUCCAAGAAUCCCUGAGUCCACAGCAUGACUCUGGUUUGCAGAACCUCUGUCCAGACCAGCCAGAUCAGAAUACAAAGGAAAGUGACACAUCCUGGAUCUCAACCCACUUCGAUGGGAAGUCUUCCUGAUAAAUUUAGAGAUAACCUAAAGCCCUUGGGGACUUCCUCUUGAUUUGAAUCUGCUGAACACCUGCCGCACCCCCACCGCACCCCCCCCCCCCGCCCCCCGCCACCGCAGAUGAAAACAUCAACUCUGCAGAAUUAAUGGAUAUGGGAAUCACCUGGGGACCUCUCAUUAAAUUGCAAAUUAUGAUUCAGAGGGUCUGGGGAGGGACAGAGACUCUGCAUUUCUAACAAGCUCUCCGGUGGUGCCCACGCAUCACCGGGGCCGGAGAACCUUCCAUCAUUCCAGCAAUGCUCACCAUCACUGCCAUUCUUGCUCUUCUUUCUGGGGCCGUUGCCCAUUUUCUCCAUGGUAUCCUUCUUUUUUCCUAUUCUUUUCCUCUUUUAAUCCUUUUUUUCUUCCCAGCCAACUCACUAUUCCUAUAUCCCUGCUAACCCUCAAUGCUCCUUCACUCAAAGAUGAAGAAACUCCUGCCCUUUCUUCCUCCAGACAUUCAUCUCCCUCCCUCCCUCCUCUCCUCAGCUUUGUAGUGCCAGGAAAAGAAAGAUCACCAUUUACUGACAAUUUUGUGUGAAGCACUGUCCCAAGUGCAUUACCCAUAUUACUUAACUCUCACAACAACCCUGCAAAGUACACAUUAUUUCUGCCAUUUUAGACAUGAGAAAAUUGGGACUUGGGGUGGUUAAAGAAAUCUUGUCCUCAACCAGGAAGUAGUGAUCUGAGAUUAGAAUUUAGAUCUGUCUGAGGCCAAAGUCUACAACUUCUAUACUGCACCAUGCUCAUAUAAGGUGAACAAUCUAGAAGGCAGCUGGUAGGAGUGGCUUCAGUAAAAAGGAAUGGAAUACCACGAGCUUCACCCCAUUUAUGCAUCCUGAACCCUUCACUCCACUUUUGUUAAGUACAUGCCCUAUGAGACGGUUUGACAUACCAAUAAUGAGAGCUGUUUCAAGAAUGCCCAGAUUAGCUAGGAUGGUUGGGACCUAAAUAGCACAGUAGUAAUAUUAAAGCCCAAAGUUGCCAAUAUGCUCAAUUUUCAAUGUAACCUUUUAUUAUAAAUUAAGACCCAUAACUGUACACACAGAGUCUGUUACCAAAAAAGAAAUUCCUUCCAUUGGCCAAUUAUUCAACCACAUGAAGUCUACUAAAGGAUGAUGCCAAGCCACCCAUCAGUCCACACAGGAUCCAUCAUGGAUGGAUAGCCAGUUCCUUUUUCUCUCUCUAGUUUCUCUUCCUUGAUUCCACCUCUAGGAUCCCCUCGCUCUCUUAUUGUCCUUUGCCUUGUCCUCAAGAUCCUACCAAGAGUCCUGGCUUCCCACCUGGGAGCAUGUACCAGUUCUCCAAACCUUUGUGUGUUUCUGAUUCCUCAGACUACCGCAUCUACAAACUAGGAAACUGUACUCUUGCUUAUACUGGCCCUCUCCCUCCCUUGACUUUUAUUAGAUACAUCAAAACAAAACAAAAAACUCCUUUUAAAUUCUGUUAAAGAUCCUGCAAGGUAUGAAGGGAGGAGAAAAGGCAGGGGCUGGGUAUGAGGAAAAGUCCAUCUUGACAUACAAAAAUGUUAAAAGUCUAUAUACUCAAAGGAGAAGUGAAGAGUCAGACUUUUACAUGUGGAACAGACAGGAAAACUGGGAGCAAUAUGGUGUAGUCAUCAGAUGUGGGUUCUAAAUUCAUCUCAGCUACCAACCAGCAGUGCAACCUUGGAUAAGCUGUGUAUUUUUCUCAAUACCAGUUUCUUCAUCUUUAAAGUGUGGAGAUUGGAUUGAACAAUUACUAAGAUUCCUUUGUUCUCUACUCUGCAGUGUCAUCUCUAGCACCUAAAAUAAAAUAAACCAGAAAUUAAUGAAAGAGUGAAAAUAAUAUUGCUCUAACCAGAAACUGAGAUACUUGAUUGAGUAAAUGCAUGAAAACAAGAAGGUAAAGAAACC
rnacentral:lncRNA from 1 species